rnacentral:misc_RNA from 1 species
GAUGAAGAACGUAGCGAAAUGCGAUACUUGGUGUGAAUUGCAGAAUCCCGUGAACCAUCGAGUCUUUGAACGCAAGUUGCGCCCGAAGCCACUAGGCCGAGGGCACGCCUGCCUGGGCGUCACACGCCGUUGCCCCCCCAUCUACUCCUUCGGGAUUGCGGGGGGGCGGAUGAUGGCCUCCUGUGCGCCUAGCCGCGCGGUUGGCAUAAAUACCAAGUCCUCGGCGACGCACGCCACGACAAUCGUUGGUUGCGAAACCUCGGUUGCCCGUCGUGUGCGUUCGUCGCGCAUCGAGGGCUCGAAAAAAUGCUCGGCUCCGGCUGGGCUUUCAACGCGACCCCAGGUCAGGCGGGGUUACCCGCUGAAUUUAAGCAUAUCAAUAAGCGGAGGA